rnacentral:sRNA from 1 species
GCUAUGCCUAGGCUGAUCACCGAAACCCCGUACACCUCUACGGACUGGCAUAGCUCCUACCAAUAGAGG